rnacentral:lncRNA from 1 species
UGUGCAGUUUUGGCCAGGGGACCAAGCUGGAGAUCAAACAUAUUUGGGUUCUGGGUCUGGAUCCUGGUAGCCACCACCCAGGUAGCAAACCCAUUGCUGCAAGGAUGGGUGAUGUAUGUCUCACUCACCUUGUUUCUCAUCUCCCUGGUGUUCCUGUUGUCUUCCUUGUUUGGAUUUGAAUCCUGGAGAGUUCUGUUCUUCGCCUUCGUCACCAUGCUGCUCUACAUUCUCCAUGCCUUCAGCAUCUAUUACCACUGAUGCACAGGCACCAGGCCAAGGGGGAAAUACUCUUUGAAAGCCCUGAUUAUUUCUCCCCGAAAGCAGCUUCCAAUGCUUGCCAUCUGGAUGAUAAACAGAAGAUCCACUAAAACAUCCACAGGAUUAACAGAGCUUCCUUGCAGACUAAGCGAUGACACCACACUUUGGACAUUUAAAUUCACUCUACUGAAUAGGAGGAAGCCUUUAUUUUCCUUUUCCUGGGAAAGUAACUGUCUCUUGGAAUUAUCUGACCGUGAACUUCCUCUUCUAGCAAACUCACAUGAAAGCCCUCACUGUUGAGAAUCCCAGCUCCACUGUCAAGCCUGUUUGGGGAUUUUGCCUCAGCUGUGGGCUUCCCUAGAGUAGGUUCAGGGGAAUACUCAGCCUGAUUAUCUUAAAAUUGAAGAAGUGCCACCAAGGCCUUCAGAUCUAAUGCAGAUCCACAGA